GCUGGGUGUGGUGGUGCACACCUGUAAUCCCAGCUACUCAGGAGGCUGAGACAGGAGAAUCGCUUGAACCCGGGAGGCAGAGGUUGCAGUGAGCUGAGAUUGUACCACUGCACUCCAGCCUGGGUGACAGAGCAAGACCCUGUCCCUU
rnacentral:SRP_RNA from 1 species